rnacentral:misc_RNA from 1 species
GAGAUACUUGUAAUAACGAUGAAAAGCUUCAAGACAAGUUUCUACUGCUCCAUUCACAUUUCCAUGCAAAUCCAGCGAAAACAGAGGUGUCAGAUCCUUCUGAACUACAACAUCAUCAUCGAGGAAAACAAUCUUCUCCAACUGCGGGUAAAUCUCAGGGAUGUAAAACCGAAGGUGAUUCAACAAAUGUAUAUAUUUUGGAUUCCGGAACUUUGGCUCGACACCCGUAUCUUGAGAUCCGUCAAAAUAAUACUUCCUGGAAUCUGUGGACAUUAGCUGCUUUACAGCAGGAGAAUAAGAUGAAUUCAACCAAGUGAAGUUGUCAAUAUUCU